GAUGAACGCUGGCGGCGUGCCUAAUACAUGCAAGUCGAGCGAACAGACGAGGAGCUUGCUCCUCUGACGUUAGCGGCGGACGGGUGAGUAACACGUGGAUAACCUACCUAUAAGACUGGGAUAACUUCGGGAAACCGGAGCUAAUACCGGAUAAUAUAUUGAACCGCAUGGUUCAAUAGUGAAAGACGGUUUUGCUGUCACUUAUAGAUGGAUCCGCGCCGCAUUAGCUAGUUGGUAAGGUAACGGCUUACCAAGGCAACGAUGCGUAGCCGACCUGAGGGGGUGGUCGGCCACACUGGAAGUGAGACACGGUCCAGACUCCUACGGGAGGCAGCAGUAGGGAAUCUUCCGCAAUGGGCGAAAGCCUGACGGAGCAACGCCGCGUGAGUGAUGAAGGUCUUCGGAUCGUAAAACUCUGUUAUUAGGGAAGAACAAAUGUGUAAGUAACUAUGCACGUCUUGACGGUACCUAAUCAGAAAGCCACGGCUAACUACGUG
rnacentral:rRNA from 1 species